AAGCGGAGGAAAAGAAACCAACAGGGAUUGCCUCAGUAACGGCGAGUGAAGCGGCAAAAGCUCAAAUUUGAAAUCCCCCGGGAAUUGUAAUUUGAAGAGAUUUGGGUCCGGCCGGCAGGGGUUAAGUCCACUGGAAAGUGGCGCCACAGAGGGUGACAGCCCCGUGAACCCCUUUAAAGCCCUCAUCCCAGAUCUCCAAGAGUCGAGUUGUUUGGGAAUGCAGCUCUAAGUGGGUGGUAAAUUCCAUCUAAAGCUAAAUACCGGCGAGAGACCGAUAGCGAACAAGUACAGUGAUGGAAAGAUGAAAAGCACUUUGAAAAGAGAGUGAAAAAGUACGUGAAAUUGUUGAAAGGGAAGGGCUUGCAAGCAGACACUUAACUGGGCCAGCAUCGGGGCGGCGGGGAGCAAAACCACCGGGGAAUGUACCUUUCGAGGAUUAUAACCCCGGUCCUUACUCCCUCACCAUCCCGAGGCCUGCAA
rnacentral:rRNA from 1 species